rnacentral:rRNA from 1 species
GAUGAACGCUGGCGGCGUGCCUAAUACAUGCAAGUCGAGCGAACGGACGAGAAGCUUGCUUCUCUGAUGUUAGCGGCGGACGGGUGAGUAACACGUGGAUAACCUACCUAUAAGACUGGGAUAACUUCGGGAAACCGGAGCUAAUACCGGAUAAUAUUUUGAACCGCAUGGUUCAAAAGUGAAAGACGGUCUUGCUGUCACUUAUAGAUGGAUCCGCGCUGCAUUAGCUAGUUGGUAAGGUAACGGCUUACCAAGGCAACGAUGCAUAGCCGACCUGAGAGGGUGAUCGGCCACACUGGAACUGAGACACGGUCCAGACUCCUACGGGAGGCAGCAGUAGGGAAUCUUCCGCAAUGGGCGAGAGCCUGACGGAGCAACGCCGCGUGAGUGAUGAAGGUCUUCGGAUCGUAAAACUCUGUUAUUAGGGAAGAACAUAUGUGUAAGUAACUGUGCACAUCUUGACGGUACCUAAUCAGAAAGCCACGGCUAACUACGUG